rnacentral:rRNA from 1 species
GUGUCAGCCGCCGCGGUAACACGUAGGCACCAAGCGUUGUCCGGAUUUAUUGGGCGUAAAGAGCUCGUAGGCGGUUCAGUAAGUCGGGUGUGAAAACUCUGGGCUCAACCCAGAGACGCCACCCGAUACUGCUGUGACUUGAGUACGGUAGGGGAGCAGGGAAUUCCUGGUGUAGCGGUGAAAUGCGCAGAUAUCAGGAGGAACACCGGUGGCGAAGGCGCUGCUCUGGGCCGAAACUGACGCUGAGGAGCGAAAGCGUGGGUAGCAAACAGGAUUAGAUACCCUGGUAGUCCACGCCGUAAACGUUGGGCACUAGGUGUGGGCUCUAACCAACGGAGUCCGCGCCGUCGCUAACGCAUUAAGUGCCCCGCCUGGGGAGUACGGCCGCAAGGUUAAA